GACGAACCGAGCGAACGUUAUUCGGAAUCAUUGGGCUUAAAGGGCGCGUAGGCGGGCGAUCAAGUCCGGGGUGAAAGCCCCCAGCUCAACUGGGGAAGUGCCUCGGAUACUGGUCGCCUCGAGGGAGAUAGGGGCGUGCGGAACUUCCGGUGGAGCGGUGAAAUGCGUAGAUAUCGGAAGGAACACCGGUGGCGAAAGCGGCGCGCUGGAUCUCUUCUGACGCUGAGGCGCGAAAGCCAGGGGAGCCGGAACGGG
rnacentral:rRNA from 1 species